CCUACGGGAGGCUGCAGUGGGGAAUAUUGGUCAAUGGGCGCAAGCCUGACCCAGCAACGCCGCGUGAAGGAAGAAUGCUUUCGGGUUGUAAACUUCUUUUCUCAGGGACGAAGAAAGUGACGGUACCUGAGGAAUAAGCCACGGCUAACUACGUGCCAUCAGCCGCGGUAAUACGUAGGUGGCAAGCAUUAACCGGAUUUAGUGGGUUUAAAGGGCGUGUAGGCGGUAGCGCAAGUCAGAUGUGAAAACUCAGGGCUCAACCCUGAGCCUGGAUUUGAAACUGUGUUUCUUGAGUGCUGGAGAGGCAAGCGGAAUGCCGUGUGUAGCGGUGAAAUGCGUAGAUAGACGGAGGAACACCAGUGGCGAAGGCGGAUUGCUGGACAGUAACUGACGCUGAGGCGCGAAAGCGUGGGGAGCAAACAGGAUUAGAUACCCGGGUAGUC
rnacentral:rRNA from 1 species